rfam:Eutrema salsugineum unplaced genomic scaffold scaffold_17, whole genome shotgun sequence.
AAACCAUGAUCAGGGCAGUCUCUCUCAUACUCCUUAAAUCGCUCAUAUGCCUCGAAAAAUGACUAUAAGGGGCCUUGUUGGAAACUUUGGAUCUUGUUUCUCAGCAG